rnacentral:lncRNA from 1 species
AUCGUGAUUUGCCCUGGAUACUUCUCAGGGAGGCGAGAAUUCAGGACAGCUAUAGCUUCGCCAUGCACUGAAACUUACUGAACUUCAGACAUCAUUUUGCCUUUCAAUUGGCGCACCAUUUAAAAUCUCUUUCAUUUAAGCACUAUUUUACAUACUAUUUUACAUAAAAAGCUACGUUCACACUACACCGUUANNNNNNNNNNNNNNNNNNNNACUUAUCGAAAGACAAUUAAUUAGUUCGUAAUAAACAUUUAUAUUAUUCAUAAAAUUACUUAGUUACCCAGUUCGUAUUGUGACAUGUAAACUCUCAGAGUACACAUGGGGGAGUGUGUAGCGAACUGGGCUCAUUACGGAGCUUUACGAAGCCAAGACGAACAUUGACAUAUUUUGUGAUGGGUCACGUGAUUAACAAGCAUGCGAGACUAACCAGCGAGAGAGAAACAGUGAGAAAUCAGUGAGAGAGAUUUGUAUUUUAUUAUUAUUAUAAAGUUAUUAUUAUUUUGUUAUCGUGA